GGGGUUGUAGCUCAGUGGUUGAGCACUUGCCUCACAUGCACGAGUCACUAGGUUCAAUCCUCAGUGCCA
rfam:Ictidomys tridecemlineatus contig071876, whole genome shotgun sequence.